rnacentral:rRNA from 1 species
CCUGAUGCAGCCAUGCCGCGUGUGUGAAGAAGGCCUUCGGGUUGUAAAGCACUUUCAGUAGGGAGGAAAGGGUGAGUCUUAAUACGGCUCAUCUGUGACGUUACCUACAGAAGAAGGACCGGCUAACUCCGUGCCAGCAGCCGCGGUAAUACGGAGGGUCCGAGCGUUAAUCGGAAUUACUGGGCGUAAAGCGUGCGCAGGCGGUUUGUUAAGCGAGAUGUGAAAGCCCUGGGCUCAACCUAGGAAUAGCAUUUCGAACUGGCGAACUAGAGUCUUGUAGAGGGGGGUAGAAUUCCAGGUGUAGCGGUGAAAUGCGUAGAGAUCUGGAGGAAUACCGGUGGCGAAGGCGGCCCCCUGGACAAAGACUGACGCUCAUGCACGAAAGCGUGGGGAGCAAACAGGAUUAGAUACCCUGGUAGUCCACGCCGUAAACGAUGUCGAUUUGGAGGCUGUGUCCUUGAGACGUGGCUUCCGGAGCUAACGCG